rnacentral:tRNA from 1 species
GUGAUGGUAGCUCAAGUUGGUUAGAGCAAUAGGUUGUGGUUCUAUUGGUUGUGGGUUCAAGUCCCAUCCAUCACCCA